rnacentral:miRNA from 1 species
GCAGGCAUCUUCCCAGCCUCCAU